rnacentral:rRNA from 2 species
GAUGGUGCUUGCACCUGAUUGAUUUUGGUCGCCAACGAGUGGCGGACGGGUGAGUAACACGUAGGUAACCUGCCCAGAAGCGGGGGACAACAUUUGGAAACAGAUGCUAAUACCGCAUAACAGCGUUGUUCGCAUGAACAACGCUUAAAAGAUGGCUUCUCGCUAUCACUUCUGGAUGGACCUGCGGUGCAUUAGCUUGUUGGUGGGGUAACGGCCUACCAAGGCGAUGAUGCAUAGCCGAGUUGAGAGACUGAUCGGCCACAAUGGGACUGAGACACGGCCCAUACUCCUACGGGAGGCAGCAGUAGGGAAUCUUCCACAAUGGGCGCAAGCCUGAUGGAGCAACACCGCGUGAGUGAAGAAGGGUUUCGGCUCGUAAAGCUCUGUUGUUAAAGAAGAACACGUAUGAGAGUAACUGUUCAUACGUUGACGGUAUUUAACCAGAAAGUCACGGCUAACUACGUGCCAGCAGCCGCGGUAAUACGUAGGUGGCAAGCGUUAUCCGGAUUUAUUGGGCGUAAAGAGAGUGCAGGCGGUUUUCUAAGUCUGAUGUGAAAGCCUUCGGCUUAACCGGAGAAGUGCAUCGGAAACUGGAUAACUUGAGUGCAGAAGAGGGUAGUGGAACUCCAUGUGUAGCGGUGGAAUGCGUAGAUAUAUGGAAGAACACCAGUGGCGAAGGCGGCUACCUGGUCUGCAACUGACGCUGAGACUCGAAAGCAUGGGUAGCGAACAGGAUUAGAUACCCUGGUAGUCCAUGCCGUAAACGAUGAGUGCUAGGUGUUGGAGGGUUUCCGCCCUUCAGUGCCGGAGCUAACGCAUUAAGCACUCCGCCUGGGGAGUACGACCGCAAGGUUGAAACUCAAAGGAAUUGACGGGGGCCCGCACAAGCGGUGGAGCAUGUGGUUUAAUUCGAAGCUACGCGAAGAACCUUACCAGGUCUUGACAUCUUGCGCCAACCCUAGAGAUAGGGCGUUUCCUUCGGGAACGCAAUGACAGGUGGUGCAUGGUCGUCGUCAGCUCGUGUCGUGAGAUGUUGGGUUAAGUCCCGCAACGAGCGCAACCCUUGUUACUAGUUGCCAGCAUUAAGUUGGGCACUCUAGUGAGACUGCCGGUGACAAACCGGAGGAAGGUGGGGACGACGUCAGAUCAUCAUGCCCCUUAUGACCUGGGCUACACACGUGCUACAAUGGACGGUACAACGAGUCGCGAACUCGCGAGGGCAAGCAAAUCUCUUAAAACCGUUCUCAGUUCGGACUGCAGGCUGCAACUCGCCUGCACGAAGUCGGAAUCGCUAGUAAUCGCGGAUCAGCAUGCCGCGGUGAAUACGUUCCCGGGCCUUGUACACACCGCCCGUCACACCAUGAGAGUUUGUAACACCCAAAGUCGGUGGGGUAACCUUUAGGAGCCAGCCGCCUAAGGUGACAGAAU